UACGAAGGGGGCUAGCGUUGUUCGGAUUUACUGGGCGUAAAGCGCACGUAGGCGGUUUGUUAAGUCAGGGGUGAAAUCCCGGAGCUCAACUCCGGAACUGCCUUUGAUACUGGCAAGCUAGAGUCCGGAAGAGGUAAGUGGAACUCCUAGUGUAGAGGUGGAAUUCGUAGAUAUUAGGAAGAACACCAGUGGCGAAGGCGGCUUACUGGUCCGGAACUGACGCUGAGGUGCGAAAGCGUGGGGAGCAAACAGGAUUAGAAACCCCUG
rnacentral:rRNA from 1 species